rnacentral:rRNA from 1 species
GAUGAACGCUAGCGGCAGGCUUAACACAUGCAAGUCGAGGGGUAUUGGUUUUCGGACCAAGAGACCGGCGCACGGGUGCGUAACGCGUAUGCAAUCUACCUUUUGCAGAGGGAUAGCCCCAGAGAAAUUUGGAUUAAUACCUCAUAGUAUAGUACUUUGGCAUCAAGGAACUAUUAAAGUCACAACGGUAAAAGAUGAGCAUGCGUCCCAUUAGCUAGUUGGUAAGGUAACGGCUUACCAAGGCUACGAUGGGUAGGGGUCCUGAGAGGGAGAUCCCCCCACACUGGUACUGAGACACGGACCAGACUCCUACGGGAGGCAGCAGUGAGGAAUAUUGGACAAUGGGCGCAAGCCUGAUCCAGCCAUGCCGCGUGCAGGAAUAAGGUCCUAUGGAUUGUAAACUGCUUUUAUACAGGAAGAAACACUCCGACGUGUCGGAGCUUGACGGUACUGUAAGAAUAAGGAUCGGCUAACUCCGUGCCAGCAGCCGCGGUAAAGUC